ensembl:snRNA U6 U6 spliceosomal RNA
GUGCUCGCUUUGGCAGCAGAUAUACUAUAAUUGGAACGGUGCAGAGAAGAUUAGCAUGGCCCCUGCACAAGGAGGAUGACUCGCUAAUUCAUGAAGCGUUCCAUGUAUUU